rnacentral:misc_RNA from 1 species
GGACUACUAGGGUUUCUAAUCCUGUUUGCUCCCCUAGCUUUCGCUUCUCAGUGUCAGGAAUGCCCCAGAAGGCCGCCUUCGCCACGGGUGUUCCUCCUGAUAUCUACGCAUUUCACCACUACACCAGGAAUUCCACCUUCCUCUGACAUCCUCGAGCCCUGCAGUAUUGGACGGCGUCUCUGGGUUAAGCCCAGAGUUUUCACGCCCAACUUACAAAGCCACCUACAAGCGCUUUACGCCCAGUAAAUCCGGAUAACGCUCGUCACCUACGUAUUACCGCGGCUGCUGGCACUA